GAAAACUCACUCUCUCUAUAUCUGUCUGGCCAUGAGGCAUCCCUGAGAAAUUACGACCGGCCUCCCGGGUGGCUCAGUGGUUAAGGGCGCUGUACUGCAGCGCCAGCUGUACCACCAGAGACUCUGGGUUCGCGCCCAGGCUCUGUCGUAACCGGCCGCGACCGGGAGGUCCGUGGGGUGACUCACAAUUGGCCUAGCGUCGUCCGGGUUAGGGAGGGUUUGGCCGGUAGGGAUAUCCUUGUCUCAUCGCGCACCAGCGACUCCUGUGGCGGGCCGGGCGCAGUGCAUGCUAACAAAGGUUGCCAGGUGCACGGUGUUUCCUCCGACACAUUGGUGCGGCUGGCUUCCGGGUUGGAUGCGCGCUGUGUUCAGAAGCAGUGCGGCUUGGUUGUGUAUCGGAGGACGCAUGACGUCUCUCCCGAGCCCGUACGGGAGUUGUAGCGAUGAGACAAGAUAGUAGCUACUAACAAUUGGAUACCACGAAAUUGGGGAGGAAAAGGUGUAAAAAUUCAACAAAAAAGAAUUUACGACCUCUCUGACCACAACAGCCUGGUUGUAGGAGACAGAGAGAGAUGGUACAGAGGUAGGGAGGUGGUACUCCCUGUGUCCAAAGAGGGCAACGUCAUGACAGUGUGUAGGAGGAGGGAGAGCUGUGUGUGUGAGCUUGUAUGAGUUCAUUAAUAUGUGUGUGUAUUUGUCCACAAGGUAUUCAUAUUCCCAGUGUUUGUAAUGUAUUAUGUCCUCUCUAUCCAGAGGGGGAAUCAGAUUGAGAAGAUAGAGAAUGUGGAGACUCUGAGAACCCUGCAGGUCCUGGAUCUGUCUCUGAACCGCAUCAGCAGUCUGUCAGGCCUGCAGAAUCUCCAUCUGCUGGGCUCCAUCAACCUGGAGAGUAACCUGAUCAGUGAAAUAAGGAGGCCACACACAUCCAUGACCUGUGCCUGCCCGGGAGCUGAAUCUGCAGAGAAACCUGUCCAGGUAGCGCACUGCACCUACACCCAGAACACAUCACUAAACUAACAAGUUAGCUCCUAAUGCUGUCUGCUUCCUCUGUACUGACAAAGACAUAUCCAUGCUGCUUCUUUCACUGUUGUUUCAACCCCAGGAGCAACUGGACUACAGACUGGCAGUGAUCUUCCUCCUUCAACAUCUGACUGGCCUGGACCAGGAGAAAGUCACAGUAGAGAGAAGGCAGGUUGGAUGUAUGAGAUGGUUAUCAGUGAUGGAACUUAAGGAUUUGGGCCGGGCUAGUAGACUGCCACUGGCCAGCCGGGCUAGUAGACUGCCAGCCGGGCUAGUAGACUGCCA
rnacentral:lncRNA from 1 species